rnacentral:rRNA from 1 species
AGAGUUUGAUCCUGGCUCAGAUUGAACGCUGGCGGCGUGCCUAACACAUGCAAGUCGAGCGGUAACAGGUGUAGCAAUACAUGCUGACGAGCGGCGAACGGGUGAGUAAUGCUUCGGAAUCUGCCCAAUGGUGGGGAAUAACCAGCCGAAAGGUUGGCUAAUACCGCAUAAGUCCUACGGGAGAAAGCAGGGGAUCGUAAGACCUUGCGCCGAUGGAUGAGCCGAAGUCGGAUUAGCUAGUUGGUAGGGUAACGGCCUACCAAGGCGACGAUCCGUAGCUGGUCUGAGAGGACGACCAGCCACACUGGGACUGAGACACGGCCCAGACUCCUACGGGAGGCAGCAGUGGGGAAUAUUGGACAAUGGGGGAAACCCUGAUCCAGCGACGCCGCGUGUGUGAAGAAGGCCUGCGGGUUGUAAAGCACUUUUAGCGGGGAUGAAAAGCUCAGGGAUAACACCUCUGGGUCUUGACCUAACCCACAGAAAAAGCACCGGCUAACUCUGUGCCAGCAGCCGCGGUAAUACAGAGGGUGCAAGCGUUAAUCGGAAUUACUGGGCGUAAAGCGUGCGUAGACGGUUAUGUAAGUCGGGUGUGAAAGCCCCGGGCUC